GUCCAGACUCCUACGGGAGGCAGCAGUGGGGAAUAUUGGGCAAUGGGCGCAAGCCUGACCCAGCAACGCCGCGUGAAGGAAGAAGGCUUUCGGGUUGUAAACUUCUUUUGACAGGGAAGAGCAGAAGACGGUACCUGUCGAAUAAGCCACGGCUAACUACGUGCCAGCAGCCGCGGUAAUACGUAGGGGGCAAGCGUUAUCCGGAUUUACUGGGUGUAAAGGGAGCGUAGACGGCAGUGCAAGUCUGGAGUGAAAGGCGGGGGCUCAACCCCCGGACUGCUCUGGAAACUGUACGGCUGGAGUGCAGGAGAGGUAAGUGGAAUUCCGUGUGUAGCGGUGAAAUGCGUAGAUAUACGGAGGAACACCAGUGGCGAAGGCGGCCUGCUGGGCUUUUACUGACGCUGAGGCUCGAAAGUGUGGGGAGCAAACAGGAUUAGAUACCCUUGUA
rnacentral:rRNA from 1 species